CUCAGAGCUGUAAAUCACACCACUAAAUCUGCCAUGAGCAACAGAGGCUGCUGGAAGGAAGAGAAAGAAAGUGUGGUGUUGACUCUCAGUUUCUGGUACACGCUGGGUGUGCUGGAGCUGCCAGGAGCCUCUCCUGAGCCUCAUCUCUAUUCCAGCCAUGAUCUGUUGGCCCUUCUACUGGCAAAGCGACCAAGUCUCUGUCCGCUUGCAACUGUAGACUGCAGUAGGCAUGGUGCUGGAGUUGUGGAGACUUUGCUGGGAAGCUGGGUGGUUAGAGCGCUGUAGAGAACUCAGAAAAGCAGGUUAAGAUCCAAAUUGGACUCUUCGCUUACCUGCAAUAAGAUGUGUGAUUUUAGCAAAACUUUAAAACUCUCUAGAUCAUGAUCUCCUCAUCUGUUUGGAG
rnacentral:lncRNA from 1 species